rnacentral:ncRNA from 1 species
AAGCACUUUCACGUGUGAACCGAAGUCAUCUUGCCCAAGACCAAUGGAGACCUACCUAUAGUAGAACGACGUCGAGUUGGCGGGGAAGGAAGACUCGGCAUGAAGGCCAGAAAAUGGUGUGGAACGUAGUGGUAAUAGUACGCACCCCACUCCGAAACAAAGAAAAAGGUGCUUGCCGCACUCACGAGGGACUGCCAGUGAGAUACUGGAGGAAGGUGGGGAUGAUGUCAAGUCCACAUGGCCCUUAUGGGCUAGGCCACACACGUGCUACAAUCGCAAUGACAAUGGGAAGCAAGGCUGUAAGGCGGAGCGAAUUCGGAAAGAUUGCCUCAGUUCGGAUUGUUCUCUGCAACUCAGGAACAUGAAGUCGAAACCGCUAGUAAUCGUGAAUCAGCAUGCCACAAUGAAUAU